rnacentral:lncRNA from 1 species
AAAAGCCGAAAUGCCGAAAAUCGGUAUUUUGUAGAUUUGCGAGUGUGCGAAUGCUCGUGAGGUAAAUCGAUUAAUGUUUUUGGUAAGCUGCAAAAUUUGGACCACAAAGUGCAUGAUUUCUGUGCCCUCGAUAUUUUUGGGCUUAUGGGCCAAAAUUGGAAUGAUGGGCCAAUGGGCCCAAUUCGGUAAGAACCCUCGGUACAUGAUUCUGUUAGUACGUGAAAAGUAGGAAUAUGCAUGAAAAACCCUAAAAUAGAUAAAUUACUGAAAGACCUUUAAAAGUGGAAAAUUUACAGUUUUACCCCUAGUAGAUAAAUUACCGAAAUACCCCUAGGGUUAAAUUGACCUAAAUGCAUGUUUGACUGUUGUUAUUUACUGCAUGCCAUGUUGUUAUUAUCUGAUGCAUGGGAUUGGGAUAUUGACGAAGGAAGUACUAAAAGUGGCUUGUCCACAUACUGGAGGCUUUGCCUCAAUUUACUGUUAACUGAGCAGCAAGGCUGCAACUGUGGAGUGUUGGGCUGAGUGGGUUGAGCUAUUCCCCACAUGGAGUGUAUGGCUGGUACGGGUAGAGUGUAGUGGUUGGUGGGUUGAAUAGUCUCCCCAAAUGGGCUUGCAUAUGUUUAUUGAUGUUGCAUGUAUUUUGAAAUGGGCCUAUGGGCCAUACUGUUAUCUGAAUAAGGGGCUAAGGCCCAGUUUAUAGUAAUCUGAAAAGGGCUCUGGUCCAGUACCACUGUUACCUGAAUGGGCUUAGGCCCAAUAGGCUUUAGCUGACUUGGGCUUUGAAUGGGUUUUCCUUACACACUGAGUUUCCCCAAACUCACCCCUUUUAUUUUCAUCCACGCAGGAAAUCCCCAACCAUAGUGGGCUUGGAGCUGUGAGGGAAUUCGGAGUGGCCACCCG